rnacentral:misc_RNA from 1 species
AUGAAGAACGUAGCGAAAUGCGAUACGUAAUGUGAAUUGCAGAAUUCAGUGAAUCAUCGAGUCUUUGAACGCACAUGGCGCCCCCUGGUAUUCCGGGGGGCAUGCCUGUCCGAGCGUCAUUGCUGCCCUCAAGCACGGCUUGUGUGUUGGGCCUCCGUCCUCCUCCCGGGGGACGGGCCCGAAAGGCAGCGGCGGCACCGCGUCCGGUCCUCGAGCGUAUGGGGCUUCGUCACCCGCUCUUGUAGGCCCGGCCGGCGCUUGCCGACACAUCAAUCUUUUUUCCAGGUUGACCUCGGAUCAGGUAGGGAUACCCGCUGAACUUAAGCAUAUCAAUAAGCGGAGGA